rnacentral:ncRNA from 1 species
CGAUGAGGUAGAGGUCGCGAAUAUUAAGAGUAGGCACGAGGAGACGUUAAGAGCCGUCUAUGAUCCGCUGCUGAAAGGAAUAUUUGCCGAAGCCUGUGCCGCCGUUCUUGCAGCGGCGCGGGCUGGGGCCGUUACCGAAAGGGACGGAACUGUCACGUUGUUACGCCUUAUCCAGGCUGACUGCGUGUUGCGCUAUCUUCACA